GGGGGACAGGAGAGGUCAGGCGUCAGGCUACUGUGUGUACUGCUUAGCUGCAAUUUGCAAUAGCUAGCUGAAAGAACCACUGUUCUGGCUGCAGAAGAACGAUAAAGUGACUAACAGAGAGAGUGGAAGGAAAGCAAAUUGGUGGUUGAAGGAACAAAUUUGUUGGUGAAGAUGUGUAACUUUUAGUUUAUACGCUUCAGACUGAAGAUUAGCUUCUGUUACUAAGGUUAGAGACAGAAAGAAGUGGUAAAAAGUUAGUAACGGUUGAUUAGAGAGGGAUUUUCUUAGUUGUUAUGAAGUAGAGCUUUUAAUUUUGAGGGUUUAAAUGUGAGAUCUGAGUUUAGCAAAGAGAGAUUUAUGGAUUCUACGGAGAUUUCAAUAAAGGGUAACGGUGGAAACGUAAGAGGAGAUUAAGGCGAGAGAGCUUCUCUUCGGGUCAUGGCGAACCCAACGACCCAAGGAACACCAUGGAAGGACAGCAAAGUCAUUCUAAUCGUCGCAUCUCUGCAAGAGAGGCUGAAACAGCGCUUUACACGGAGCUCUGGCAUGCCUGUGCUGGUCCUUUGGUAACCGUUCCUCGUGAAAAAGAGCGCGUCUUCUACUUCCCUCAGGGACACAUCGAACA
rnacentral:misc_RNA from 1 species